GUGGGGUAUCUUGCGCAAUGGGCGAAAGCCUGACGCAGCCAUGCCGCGUGAAUGAUGAAGGUCUUAGGAUUGUAAAAUUCUUUCACCGGGGACGAUAAUGACGGUACCCGGAGAAGAAGCUCCGGCUAACUUCGUGCCAGCAGCCGCGGUAAUACGAAGGGGGCUAGCGUUGCUCGGAAUUACUGGGCGUAAAGGGCGCGUAGGCGGACAGCUUAGUCAGAGGUGAAAGCCCAGGGCUCAACCUUGGAAUUGCCUUUGAUACUGGCUGUCUUGAGUUUGGGAGAGGUGAGUGGAACUCCGAGUGUAGAGGUGAAAUUCGUAGAUAUUCGGAAGAACACCAGUGGCGAAGGCGACUCACUGGCCCAAUACUGACGCUGAGGCGCGAAAGCGUGGGGAGCAAACAGGAUUAGAAACCCUAGUAGUCC
rnacentral:rRNA from 1 species